UACGUAGGGUGCAAGCGUUAAUCGGAAUUACUGGGCGUAAAGCGUGCGCAGGCGGUUUUGUAAGUCUGUCGUGAAAUCCCCGGGCUCAACCUGGGAAUUGCGAUGGAGACUGCAAGGCUAGAAUCUGGCAGAGGGGGGUAGAAUUCCACGUGUAGCAGUGAAAUGCGUAGAGAUGUGGAGGAACACCGAUGGCGAAGGCAGCCCCCUGGGUCAAGAUUGACGCUCAUGCACGAAAGACGUGGGGAGCAAA
rnacentral:rRNA from 1 species